CCCUUACCAUCGAUACCGUAAGAGGUACUGGAAUGCAAUUUCGUAAAUGGGUUGACACCCAUUAUAAGGGCUGAAGUGAGGAUGAUGAAGCCUAGGGGAUUAGCCCACACUAUGGUUCUGGCCCAACGGGUUGAAGAUAGAAAUGAAGCUAUUGGCCAGGCCCAAUUUCAGCAAGGCCCAACUAAAAAUAAAAGUAACCCAAACAACACCUACAGCCCGUUAAAUCCCUCCUAGAAUUCUCAGACACAUAGCAAUUCUUCGUUCCAGCGAUUUACAGCAGCAACUCCGAGGCCCUCGACCACCAACUUGCGCGGCCCGGUAAGUGGAAAAGGGGCGGCGCCAUAUUAGAGACUUACGGAUGCGGAGCUUCAAAUGAAGAGGGAGAAGGGAUUAUGUUACAAGUGUGACUAGAAAUAUCAGCCGGGUCACAAAUGCCGCCUCAAGGAGUUACAAGUGCUUGUAGUCCAGGAAGAGGAAGUAGGGGUAGAGUCGGUGGAACAGGGAACAAAUUUGGAUGAGAAUGAGGUACAAGAAGGGGUGGAGCUAUCUCUUAACUCAGUGGUCAAACUGACCACACCUAAAACAAUGAAGGUAGCCGGUUCCUUAUUGGGUCAUGAAAUCAUUGUGCUCAUUGACUGCAGAGCGUCCCACAACUUCAUAUCUCUGGAGUUGGUAAAGAUGCUGGAAAUUCCUGUGAUAGGGACCAACUGUUACGGGGUUACUUUGGGAUCAGGAACUACAGUCAAAGGAGGAGGCGUUUGUAAGGGUAUAGUUGUGACAUUAUCGAACAUCGAAGUGGUGGAUGACUUCCUCACUCUAAUGCUGGGUUGUACCGACCUGAUCUUGGGUAUGAAGUGGUUAGGCACACUGGGCCAAACACAAGUGGAUUGGGGGAAGCUGACAAUGAAAUUUAAGGUGGGAGGACAAUUGGUCGUGUUGCAAGGCGACUCUAGUUUGCAGAAGACCCAAGUUUCCAUCAAGUCGAUGGUCAGAAAUUUUAAGGAAGGGGAUCAGGGAGUACUGCUGGAAUUGGGGAGUCUGAGCCUGAAUGAUGAGGAAGAAGGGGUGGGGAACUCGGGCGAGGUGAUGGAGGUCCUGCAACGUCACCGCCGGGUAUUUGAGUGGCUUAACGAGUUACCCCCAGAGCGUUCCCGUGAUCAUGCGACUGUGCUACAAACUGGGGCAGCCCCGAUUAACCGUACCGGUAUCCGUAUUUUCAGAAGAACGAGAUUGAGAAGUUAGUGCGGAG
rnacentral:lncRNA from 1 species